rnacentral:lncRNA from 1 species
UGUUUUAAGACCUAGGCAAGUAGUGACAGUAACAGCAGCUGCAUAAAUAAGUGUGUGUAUUUCUGUGAGUGUUGUUUCGCAUUAAUAAAUUUUGGUAGAAUGUGUGUGUUCGUACAAUGUAGUGUAACGUUCGACUGUUGUGGAUUGUGAAGUUUAGGAAUGCGUGGAGGUUGCGUGGGAUCUGUACCCGCGAAUUUGAUUAAUGUUUCCUGGAGAGUGUGAGUGAGUUUAUUAGGUCUGUGUCAGUGUUGUUAAUGGGCGGUGUGUUGUCGUCGAUGAAUGUUAUUUCUGAUGUCCGUUCCACUCGGUGUUGUAUUUGUGUGUGUGAAUCGAUCUCGUGUUGCGAUAUUUGUCGCGAUACCCGAGUUUUAAUGCUUCCUAACGUACUGUGUGGUAUGAGGUUUCUGUGGAUGAUGGUUAUUCUUCGAUCCGCUACGCGUUAUUCUGUAACUAUGAUGGUUG